AUGCCUGCAAACAAGACUUCUCCAGCGAAUCAGAAGGACGGACGUAACAUCUCUGUUGACAUGUACCCGUUCAUACGCAAGUACAAGGACGGCAGCAUCGAGCGUUUCCUACGCAGUCCAUUCGUGCUGGCGUCGCCGGAUCAGGGCGGCAACCGCGGGGUGGCCACGAAGGACGUCGUCGUCGACAAGGCCACCGGCGUGUCUGUUCGGCUGUUCCUCCCGUCGCGUGCCGCCGACACCGCAGGCAGGAACCGGCUUCCCCUCGUCAUCUACGUCCAUGGCGGCUCGUUCUGCACGGAGAGCGCUUUCGGCCGGACGUACCACCGCUACGCGACCUCCCUCGCCGCCAGCGCCGGGGCCCUAGUCGUGUCGCUGGAGUACCGUCUGGCGCGGGAGUUCCCCAUACCUGCGGCCUACGACGAUUCGUGGGCCGCGCUCCAGUGGGCGGCGUCCUUGUCCGACCCGUGGCUGGCCAGCUACGCCGACCCUGCGCGCACGUUCCUGGCCGGCGACAGCGCCGGCGGCAACAUCGUUUACCACACGGCAGUCCGCGCCAGCCACGAAAUCAACGACGACAUGAUGGACGUUGCGGGGUUGAUCAUAGUGCAUCCUUACUUCUGGGGAGCCAAGCGGCUGCCCUCGGAGCUCGCGUGUGCGGACGACAGCCAGGGCGCCGCGGUGGUGUUCCCACCGUACGGGGUGGACCGGCUGUGGCCGUUCGUCACGGCCGGCCAGGCCGGCAACGACGACCCCUGGAUCGAUCUUCCGACCUCGGAGAUCUCAUCGCUGGCUUGCCGCCGCGUGCUCGUGACCGUGGCUGGAAAGGACACUCUGCGCGAGCGUGGCCUCGACCUGGCGGCCCGCAUGCGUGAUCACGACGCGCCGUGGCCUUGGAUGAUGCAGGGGCGCCGCGAGGUGACGGUGGAGGAGUCGGAGGGCGAGGACCACGGCUUCCACCUCUACAGUCCGCUGAGGCCCACCAGCAAGAGGCUUAUGGGGAGCAUCGUGGAGUUCAUAAACCAGCAGCCCAACUCGUCGCCUGGUAAUCGUAUGGUGCUUGGCGUGCCCACGACGCCGUUUAACGACGUGUUUGGGUAUGGCAUGGCCAUGAAGUCCUGGGGCACACGCUCCAGUAUGGCUACUUCCAUGAAAAUUGGAAGAGUUGGGCCAUCCAACAAAAUCUCAGUUCGACUGCCGAUGCCUGCUGGCAACGCUCAUCACAAACAUCCAUUAUCUGCUCCGGUUCCGUGGGGUUGUGUGAUCAACAAGUUUUUCUAG
rnacentral:rRNA from 1 species